AGAUUCUCCACUGUCUCCUUUGGGCCCUGGUCCACCAUCUACUCCCUGGAUGAAAAAAAUGGCAUGUCGAAGGAAUUAUCAAACAAUUAGUUGAUGAGAAAUUAAUAAUAAAACAGUAACAACAAUAAUACUCACAUUGGCACCAGCUUCUCCAGGAGGUCCAGAAUCUCCGGGGAAACCAAUUGGGCCCUGUGGCCACAAACGGCCCAGCAGGACCCACGCCACCAGGCCUUCCUGGCUGGCCAAUAGCGCCAGCCGACCCGUCAGGACCCCUCUCUCCUGUGGCACCCUGGACAUAAAAAGAGAGAGCAGAUCCCGGUAAUCCAUUCUCACCCGGUGAUCCCGGUGAACCAGGAUGGCCUCUGUCUCCAGUUGGUCCUGUCUCCCCAGAUUUUCCCUGGAAACGAGCAAAUUACACAACACGCAAAACAGGUGUUUUUUAAAACUGGCGUUUGAAAUAUGUGUGCUGUGUGCUCAACAGUCAACUAAUUUACUAUGGGCUGAUCGUCUUACCUGUGGUCCAACAACACCAGGGGGACCAGGAGGUCCAUUUUUGCCUUGGAAUCCCUGAAGAAAAGGACAAGUGUGUUUGGUGAACCUCAGAGUUGAAACAUUAGGGUGCAGACAUGGCUGGUUGUUUUACUAGAUUUUGCAGAGGCCUCUCAACUUGUACUCAGAUUUCAGUAAUUGAGUGUCUUAGCUUUUCGACUUUUUUCCC